GCAAUGGGCGAAAGCCUGACUCAGCAACGCCGCGUGGGCGAUGAAGGCCUUCGGGUCGUAAAGCCCUUUUCUGAGGGACGAGGAAGGACGGUACCUCAGGAAUAAGUCACGGCUAACUACGUGCCAGCAGCCGCGGUAAUACGUAGGUGGCCAGCGUUAUCCGGAAUCAUUGGGCGUAAAGCGCGUGUAGGUGGUUUCGUAAGUCGGACGUGAAAUCUCCUGGCUUAACUGGGAGGGGCCGUUCGAUACUGCGGAUCUUGAGGUCGGGAGAGGGACGUGGAAUUCCCGGUGUAGUGGUGGAAUGCGUAGAUAUCGGGAGGAACACCAGUGGCGAAGGCGGCGUCCUGGCCCGCACCUGACACUCAGACGCGAAAGCGUGGGGAGCGAACGGGAUUAGAUACCCCGGUAGUCCACGCUGUAAACGGUGGAUACUAGGUGUUGGUGGCUAUCGUCAUCAGUGCCGUAGCUAACGCGUUAAGUAUCCCGCCUGAGGUCCACGG
rnacentral:rRNA from 1 species